AGUCGAGCGGAUCUUCAUUAGCUUGCUUUUGAAGAUCAGCGGCGGACGGGUGAGUAACACGUGGGCAACCUGCCUGUAAGACUGGGAUAACUUCGGGAAACCGGAGCUAAUACCGGAUAAUCCUUUCCCUCACAUGAGGGAAAGCUGAAAGACGGUUUCGGCUGUCACUUACAGAUGGGCCCGCGGCGCAUUAGCUAGUUGGUGAGGUAACGGCUCACCAAGGCAACGAUGCGUAGCCGACCUGAGAGGGUGAUCGGCCACACUGGGACUGAGACACGGCCCAGACUCCUACGGGAGGCAGCAGUAGGGAAUCUUCCGCAAUGGACGAAAGUCUGACGGAGCAACGCCGCGUGAGCGAUGAAGGCCUUCGGGUCGUAAAGCUCUGUUGUCAGGGAAGAACAAGUACCGGAGUAACUGCCGGUACCUUGACGGUACCUGACCAGAAAGCCACGGCUAACUACGUGCCAGCAGCCGCGGUAAUACGUAGGUGGCAAGCGUUGUCCGGAAUUAUUGGGCGUAAAGCGCGCGCAGGCGGUUCCUUAAGUCUGAUGUGAAAGCCCCCGGCUCAACCGGGGAGGGUCAUUGGAAACUGGGGAACUUGAGUGCAGAAGAGGAGAGCGGAAUUCCACGUGUAGCGGUGAAAUGCGUAGAGAUGUGGAGGAACACCAGUGGCGAAGGCGGCUCUCUGGUCUGUAACUGACGCUGAGGCGCGAAAGCGUGGGGAGCGAACAGGAUUAGAUACCCUGUAGUCCACGCCGUAAACGAUGAGUGCUAAGUGUUAGAGGGUUUCCGCCCUUUAGUGCUGCAGCAAACGCAUUAAGCACUCCGCCUGGGGAGUACGGCCGCAAGGCUGAAACUCAAAGGAAUUGACGGGGGCCCGCACAAGCGGUGGAGCAUGUGGUUUAAUUCGAAGCAACGCGAAGAACCUUACCAGGUCUUGACAUCCUCUGACAACCCUAGAGAUAGGGCUUUCCCCUUC
rnacentral:rRNA from 2 species